rnacentral:rRNA from 1 species
GUGAGGAAUAUUGCGCAAUGGAGGCAACUCUGACGCAGCCAUGCCGCGUGCAGGAAGAAGGCGCUACGCGUUGUAAACUGCUUUUAACCGGGAAGAAACCCCAGGACGUGUCCUGGGUUGACGGUACCGGAGGAAUAAGCACCGGCUAACUUCGUGCCAGCAGCCGCGGUAAUACGAAGGGUGCAAGCGUUAUCCGGAUUCAUUGGGUUUAAAGGGUGCGUAGGCGGAGCGUUAAGUCAGUGGUGAAAUCCUGCAGCUUAACUGUAGACUUGCCAUUGAUACUGGCGCUCUUGAGUGCGCUGGAAGUGGGCGGAAUGUGCCGUGUAGCGGUGAAAUGCUUAGAUAUGGCACAGAACACCAAUUGCGAAGGCAGCUCACUAAGGCGAUACUGACGCUGAGGCACGAAAGCGUGGGGAUCGAACAGGAUUAGAAACCCUUGUAGUCC